UAAGUGAAAUGAUGACUUAUCUUAGUGUAAAUUGAAAAUUUUCAUUUAUCAAAAACACUACAUAAAUAAUAUCAGAUAAUAUUUUUAAAUUGUUUGAUAAUUUUCUCAAUAAACCAUUAAAAUAUUGCCUCUUAUUUUUUUGAGAAAAUAUAAUAAUAAACCUAUUUACACAUCCGAACAAGCAUUCAUGGGAUGUGAGGCCUACACGUGACGGACGGGUAAGUGAGUAUAAUAUUUUUCUUAGAUGAAAAAUUCUAUAUUAUCAAUGUAUUAUAUAAUAAUAAAAUUUUAAAAAUAUUACUGACGAGUGUCUGGGCCACUAGAAAAAGAUAGAAGAAUACUUUUUAUUAUCUACUUUUAAGAUAAUUUUCACUCUAAUUCUAAUACUAAAUAUAACGAUAGUCUGAAUUUUCAUAGUUCGAAUAGCUCGAAUGUCUUAAAAUAAUAUCGUUUUAUCCCUCAAAACAACGUCAUUUAGAGACAUUCGGACUACACAAAUUCGAAUUACCAAAUAUUUUUCUACUAAAUAAUGUCCCAAAAACACUUUUGUGUAAUAAUCAAUUAAUAAUUAUUAAUAGUUGGGAAAUUAUCAUUCAGGAGGUAUUUUGAACAAAUAUUACAUAUUGAUGAUAGUUUAUAAUUUUAAUUAUUAAUAUUUAUUACUUUUUUAUAAAUAUUUUUUCUGACUACCAUGUCUGUAAUUCCUCCCUUAUUCUAUUUGCAAAUAUUAAAUUGUGAUGAAUUGUACCUAAAAUCCAAACUUUGGAUCUCAUUUUGAAAUUUUGGGUUUUGUUGAAAAAGAAAGGUAUCUUAUUUUUCAAUAAAUGACAAGACGGUGUGGAAUAUUAUCUAUGGUGGGACCUAUGUAUGUUAUACAUUACAUUUGCCCAUGCCAAUUUCUUACACUGACCAGUAUUUAUUUUGGUGAUAUAUCAUAUGUUUUGAGAUUUUAUUUUUAUUGAUUUUGAAAAGACUAAAUAAAUUCACAACCUAAAUAUAUAGUUUAUUCCUAAUGCUACCUCUUACAUAAAUUUAACCCAAUUUAUGAGAGAUGAGAGUUAAAAAUUCAUCAUAUAACAUCUAAAUGAUUGAGUCCGACUCUCUUCCAAUCCUAAUAAAAUUGGAGAUUUUUCAAUACUAUCUAAAAAUGCACAACAUGGUUACUGAUACAUCUUAUAAUCGUGAUUUUACUAAUCAACCAACCCUUUUUUUGAACCUAACUUAACCAAUCAAACCCACAAUUUUGUCAUUGGCACCCGCCUACAAUAUAUUAUCCUUGUUGCAACUUCUGCCACGAGAAAAAUCUUGAGUCUGAUUACAAACCCAUCAUUUUUUACCGCUCUAAUAUUACUCAAAUCUUGAAGAACCAACCAUGCGUAGUAAAUGAUUCAAAACUCAAAAAUAACAAUAAAAUCUGACUUCGUCCUCAACUUUCACUGUUUAUAUACUUGUAUGUAUGUCUAAACAAGCAAAAACCCAUCAACAAUGUUAGAGUUUGCAAACCCCAAAUUGAAAUGUAGUAUGGUGAAAUUCAUGAUUUCAUCUUGCCUAGAUGUCCUAGAGAGUGGACAAGUCUUCUGAUCAUGGCCUAUCCAAUUGCUCUGCUCAUCUCCAAUGGAAAAUGUUCUCGUUCUUCAUCAACCACCUAAACUCUUCUCCAACUAUGAACUCGUAAAUGCGAAGAUUUCAGCCUGCAGGACAUUGCAACGACCAUGACGCUGAGUUUGCAGUUGGUGGGUUAGAUUGAAAACAGAAGGGGUUACUUCAUCUGGUCAAAUCUUGAUCGUUGGAUGUGUGUAGAAUUAUUAGAUGAAUUCUUCGUAAAAUUGAAGAGGAGCCCAACUCGAAAUGAUUGAAGUUGUGGAUGCUUUUAAAGUUAUUGCUACUAAAAAAAAUUUCUGCACUAUAUUUUUGCAGCUGUUGGAUAUCCUGUGCCUGGUCCUAUGUCAAGUGAAGCGCCUGGAGCUAUGUCGCCGAGCCCUGCAGCAUCUGGAAACAGUGGCAAUGCAGCUUCAUCAAGCAUUGCAGCUUCUCAGUUAUCCAUCCUUGUUGGCUUAGCAAUUGCAUUUCUCACAACACUCUUCUUCUGAUUUUAAUUUUUGGAGUUUUUUUUUUUUUUUUUUUUUUUUAACUUUAUAUUUGUUUUGAUUUCUCCAUUUAUCUGGGGAGGGGGUAUUGUAACCAGAUAUUGAAUGGGUAUGACUUAGUUACACCAAUAAACAUGUAGCUUUUUUUAAAAUUAUUUUUUCAUGAUUUUCUCUCUCAUGGAGAAAUCAACCAUUGUUUUGAAGCAUGAACCAUUUGCUAGCAUUGUCCUCACAAUUUCAAAUUCUAUAUAUACAUAUUUAUUUAUCCCA